AUUGAACGCUAGCGGGAUGCCUUACACAUGCAAGUCGAACGGCGUGGCGAACGCGUGCGUAAUGUAACGGAAUGUGCCCAGUACCGGGGGAUAACUACGCGAAAGCGUAGCUAAUACUGCAUACUAUCGGAACGGCCAAUAUCGGAUUAGCUUGUUGGUGGGGUAACGGCUCACCAAGGCGACGAUCCGUAGCUGGUUUGAGUGGACGACCAGCCACACUGGGACUGAGACACGGCCCAGACUCCUACGGGAGGCAGCAGUGGGGAAUUUUGGACAAUGGGGGAAACCCUGAUCCAGCCAUCCCGCGUGUACGAUGAAGGCCUUCGGGUUGUAAAGCACUUUUGGCAGGAAGGCGGUACCUGCAGAAUAAGCACCGGCUAACUACGUGCCAGCAGCCGCGGUAAUUC
rnacentral:rRNA from 1 species